rnacentral:lncRNA from 1 species
AUGGCUUCGUCUGCUGUAAGGGUCUCCAGCAGGGCCAUGCCACGUGCCUCGUCUCCCUCGGGGACGUCUCUGCAGGCUACUGCUUGGAAGUGCUGGCGUGUUGAACCCAAGAGACUUUGCACCCAGAAGCUUUCUCAUCCUGAUCAGCCUGUUUUCAAGUAUUUUCGGAAUAGAACAGCAAGGACAUUGGUUUUACUUCUGCAUUUGAAGAAUGGACCUGCACAGGGAACCAACUCUGAAGCAGCCUUUCUUUCCAAGAUGCUCAGCCUGUGUGCCUGCAUGCAGCCUGUGUGCAAUCUGUGUGCAUCCUGUGUGCUGGAGCAGCGGCUGGUGAUUAGAAGUCCCGGCUAUUUUCUGGGGUCAACAGCAGAUCCAAGAUCAUCUCAGCAACUCUCUGCCUGA